rnacentral:rRNA from 1 species
GUUUGUCGCGUCUGCUGUGAAAUCCCGAGGCUCAACCUCGGGCCUGCAGUGGGUACGGGCAGACUAGAGUGCGGUAGGGGAGAUUGGAAUUCCUGGUGUAGCGGUGGAAUGCGCAGAUAUCAGGAGGAACACCGAUGGCGAAGGCAGAUCUCUGGGCCGUAACUGACGCUGAGGAGCGAAAGGGUGGGGAGCAAACAGGCUUAGAUACCCUGGUAGUCCACCCCGUAAACGUUGGGAACUAGUUGUGGGGUCCAUUCCACGGAUUCCGUGACGAAGCUAACGCAUUAAGUUCCCCGCCUGGGGAGUACGGCCGCAAGGCUAAAACUCAAAGGAAUUGACGGGGACCCGCACAAGCGGCGGAGCAUGCGGAUUAAUUCGAUGCAACGCGAAGAACCUUACCAAGGCUUGACAUAUACCGGAAACGGCCAGAGAUGGUCGCCCCGCAAGGUCGGUAUACAGGUGGUGCAUGGUUGUCGUCAGCUCGUGUCGUGAGAUGUUGGGUUAAGUCCCGCAACGAGCGCAACCCUCGUUCUAUGUUGCCAGCACGUAAUGGUGGGAACUCAUGGGAUACUGCCGGGGUCAACUCGGAGGAAGGUGGGGAUGACGUCAAAUCAUCAUGCCCCUUAUGUCUUGGGCUUCACGCAUGCUACAAUGGCCGGUACAAAGGGCUGCGAUACCGUAAGGUGGAGCGAAUCCCAAAAAGCCGGUCCCAGUUCGGAUUGAGGUCUGCAACUCGACCUCAUGAAGUCGGAGUCGCUAGUAAUCGCAGAUCAGCAACGCUGCGGUGAAUACGUUCCCGGGUCUUGUACACACCGCCCGUCAAGUCAUGAAAGUCGGUAACACCUGAAGCCGGUGGCCUAACCCUUGUGGAGGGAGCCGUCGAAGGUGGGAUCGGUAAUUAGGACUA